GACGAACGCUGGCGGCGUGCUUAACACAUGCAAGUCGAACGGACAGACCCUGCUUUUGUGGGGUGCUCGAGUGGCGAACGGGUGAGUAACACGUGAGUAACCUGCCCUUGUCUUUGGGAUAACUUCACGAAACUGGGGCUCAUACCGGAUAUGAGCUCCUGCUCCAUGUUGGUGGUUGGAAAAUUUCGGCUGUUCGGGCUGGACUCGCGGCUUAUCAGCUUGUUGGUGGGGUAGUGGCUUACCAAGGCUUUGACGGGUAGCCGGCCUGAGAGGGUGACCGGCCACAUUGGGACUGAGAUACGGCCCAGACGCCUACGGGAGGCAGCAGGGGGGAAUAUUGCACAAUGGGCGGAAGCCUGAUGCAGAAACGCCGCGUGCGGGAUGACGGCCUUCGGGGUGUAAACCGCUUUCGAAGGUGACGAAGAGUGAGUGACGGUAAUGGGUAAAGAAGCACCGGCUAACUACGUG
rnacentral:rRNA from 1 species